AACAAACGCUGGCGGCGUGCCUAAUACAUGCAAGUCGAACGGGGAAAGCUUUCGGGUGAGUACUAGUGGCGCACGGGUGAGGAACGCGUGGAUAAUCUGCCUUAGCGUGGGGGAUCACUAGUCGCAAGAUUAGCUAAUACCGCAUAAGACCACAUGAGCUGCGGCCCUAGGGGUCAAAGGUUUUUCGCUCUAAGAUGACUCCGCGUAAGAUCAGCUAGUUGGUGAGGUAACGGCUCACCAAGGCGACGAUCUUUAACUGGUCUGAGAGGAUGAUCAGUCACACUGGAACUGAGACACGGUCCAGACUCCUACGGGAGGCAGCAGUAGGGAAUAUUGCACAAUGGAGGAAACUCUGAUGCAGCGACGCCGCGUGAGUGAUGAAGGCCUUCGGGUUGUAAAGCUCUGUCGCAGGGGAAUAACACAAUGAAUGUACCCUGUAAGAAAGGAUCGGCUAACUUCGUGCCAGCCGCCGCAGUAAUAC
rnacentral:rRNA from 1 species